GACGCGUAAGCGCCGUAGGCAGGAGCGGGGGACCCAGGUAAGCCGCCGGGUCCGCACGGCCCCCACCGAGGGGUUGUACGGGACCGGCUAGGGGUGAAGCCGAGCGCAAGGACGCACGGCCGGGCAACUCAUCAGCCCGAACCCGACAGCUCACCUCGUAGGCGUCGGUGAGGAGAUUC
rfam:Streptomyces sp. HCCB10043 Contig_854, whole genome shotgun sequence.